rnacentral:rRNA from 1 species
AUUGAACGCUGGCGGCAGGCCUAACACAUGCAAGUCGAACGGUAACAGGAAGCAGCUUGCUGCUUUGCUGACGAGUGGCGGACGGGUGAGUAAUGUCUGGGAAACUGCCUGAUGGAGGGGGAUAACUACUGGAAACGGUAGCUAAUACCGCAUAACGUCGCAAGACCAAAGAGGGGGACCUUAGGGCCUCUUGCCAUCGGAUGUGCCCAGAUGGGAUUAGCUAGUAGGUAGGGUAACGGCUCACCUAGGCGACGAUCCCUAGCUGGUCUGAGAGGAUGACCAGCCACACUGCAACUGAGACACGGUCCAGACUCCUACGGGAGGCAGCAGUGGGGAAUAUUGCACAAUGGGCGCAAGCCUGAUGCAGCCAUGCCGCGUGUAUGAAGAAGGCCUUCGGGUUGUAAAGUACUUUCAGCGGGGAGGAAGGGAGUAAAGUUAAUACCUUUGCUCAUUGACGUUACCCGCAGAAGAAGCACCGGCUAACUCCGUG